GGGUUGUGAGGUUAAGCGACUAAGCGUACACGGUGGAUGCCCUGGCAGUCAGAGGCGAUGAAGGACGUGCUAAUCUGCGAUAAGCGUCGGUGAGGUGAUAUGAACCGUUAUAACCGGCGAUUUCCGAAUGGGGAAACCCAGUGUGUUUCGACACACUAUCAUUAACUGAAUCCAUAGGUUAAUGAGGCGAACCGGGGGAACUGAAACAUCUAAGUACCCCGAGGAAAAGAAAUCAACCGAGAUUCCCCCAGUAGCGGCGAGCGAACGGGGAGGAGCCCAGAGCCUGAAUCAGUGUGUGUGUUAGUGGAAGCGUCUGGAAAGGCGCGCGAUACAGGGUGACAGCCCCGUACACAAAAAUGCACAUAUUGUGAGCUCGAUGAGUAGGGCGGGACACGUGGUAUCCUGUCUGAAUAUGGGGGGACCAUCCUCCAAGGCUAAAUACUCCUGACUGACCGAUAGUGAACCAGUACCGUGAGGGAAAGGCGAAAAGAACCCCGGCGAGGGGAGUGAAAAAGAACCUGAAACCGUGUACGUACAAGCAGUGGGAGCCUCUUAAUGGGGUGACUGCGUACCUUUUGUAUAAUGGGUCAGCGACUUAUAUUCUGUAGCAAGGUUAACCGAAUAGGGGAGCCGAAGGGAAACCGAGUCUUAACUGGGCGUUAAGUUGCAGGGUAUAGACCCGAAACCCGGUGAUCUAGCCAUGGGCAGGUUGAAGGUUGGGUAACACUAACUGGAGGACCGAACCGACUAAUGUUGAAAAAUUAGCGGAUGACUUGUGGCUGGGGGUGAAAGGCCAAUCAAACCGGGAGAUAGCUGGUUCUCCCCGAAAGCUAUUUAGGUAGCGCCUCGUGAAUUCAUCUCCGGGGGUAGAGCACUGUUUCGGCAAGGGGGUCAUCCCGACUUACCAACCCGAUGCAAACUGCGAAUACCGGAGAAUGUUAUCACGGGAGACACACGGCGGGUGCUAACGUCCGUCGUGAAGAGGGAAACAACCCAGACCGCCAGCUAAGGUCCCAAAGUCAUGGUUAAGUGGGAAACGAUGUGGGAAGGCCCAGACAGCCAGGAUGUUGGCUUAGAAGCAGCCAUCAUUUAAAGAAAGCGUAAUAGCUCACUGGUCGAGUCGGCCUGCGCGGAAGAUGUAACGGGGCUAAACCAUGCACCGAAGCUGCGGCAGCGACACUAUGUGUUGUUGGGUAGGGGAGCGUUCUGUAAGCCUGUGAAGGUGGCCUGUGAGGGUUGCUGGAGGUAUCAGAAGUGCGAAUGCUGACAUAAGUAACGAUAAAGCGGGUGAAAAGCCCGCUCGCCGGAAGACCAAGGGUUCCUGUCCAACGUUAAUCGGGGCAGGGUGAGUCGACCCCUAAGGCGAGGCCGAAAGGCGUAGUCGAUGGGAAACAGGUUAAUAUUCCUGUACUUGGUGUUACUGCGAAGGGGGGACGGAGAAGGCUAUGUUGGCCGGGCGACGGUUGUCCCGGUUUAAGCGUGUAGGCUGGUUUUCCAGGCAAAUCCGGAAAAUCAAGGCUGAGGCGUGAUGACGAGGCACUACGGUGCUGAAGCGACAAAUGCCCUGCUUCCAGGAAAAGCCUCUAAGCAUCAGGUAACAUCAAAUCGUACCCCAAACCGACACAGGUGGUCAGGUAGAGAAUACCAAGGCGCUUGAGAGAACUCGGGUGAAGGAACUAGGCAAAAUGGUGCCGUAACUUCGGGAGAAGGCACGCUGAUAUGUAGGUGAAGCGACUUGCUCGUGGAGCUGAAAUCAGUCGAAGAUACCAGCUGGCUGCAACUGUUUAUUAAAAACACAGCACUGUGCAAACACGAAAGUGGACGUAUACGGUGUGACGCCUGCCCGGUGCCGGAAGGUUAAUUGAUGGGGUUAGCGGUAACGCGAAGCUCUUGAUCGAAGCCCCGGUAAACGGCGGCCGUAACUAUAACGGUCCUAAGGUAGCGAAAUUCCUUGUCGGGUAAGUUCCGACCUGCACGAAUGGCGUAAUGAUGGCCAGGCUGUCUCCACCCGAGACUCAGUGAAAUUGAACUCGCUGUGAAGAUGCAGUGUACCCGCGGCAAGACGGAAAGACCCCGUGAACCUUUACUAUAGCUUGACACUGAACAUUGAGCCUUGAUGUGUAGGAUAGGUGGGAGGCUUUGAAGUGUGGACGCCAGUCUGCAUGGAGCCGACCUUGAAAUACCACCCUUUAAUGUUUGAUGUUCUAACGUGGGCCCCUUACCGGGGUUGCGGACAGUGUCUGGUGGGUAGUUUGACUGGGGCGGUCUCCUCCUAAAGAGUAACGGAGGAGCACGAAGGUUGGCUAAUCCUGGUCGGACAUCAGGAGGUUAGUGCAAUGGCAUAAGCCAGCUUGACUGCGAGCGUGACGGCGCGAGCAGGUGCGAAAGCAGGUCAUAGUGAUCCGGUGGUUCUGAAUGGAAGGGCCAUCGCUCAACGGAUAAAAGGUACUCCGGGGAUAACAGGCUGAUACCGCCCAAGAGUUCAUAUCGACGGCGGUGUUUGGCACCUCGAUGUCGGCUCAUCACAUCCUGGGGCUGAAGUAGGUCCCAAGGGUAUGGCUGUUCGCCAUUUAAAGUGGUACGCGAGCUGGGUUUAGAACGUCGUGAGACAGUUCGGUCCCUAUCUGCCGUGGGCGCUGGAGAACUGAGGGGGGCUGCUCCUAGUACGAGAGGACCGGAGUGGACGCAUCACUGGUGUUCGGGUUGUCAUGCCAAUGGCACUGCCCGGUAGCUAAAUGCGGAAGAGAUAAGUGCUGAAAGCAUCUAAGCACGAAACUUGCCCGAGAUGAGUUCUCCCUGACUCCUUGAGAGUCCUGAAGGAACGUUGAAGACGACGACGUUGAUAGGCCGGGUGUGUAAGCGCAGCGAUGCGUUGAGCUAACCGGUACUAAUGAACCGUGAGGCUUAACCUUACAACGCCGAAG
rnacentral:rRNA from 1 species